UCGAGGAUCUUCGGCAAUGGGCGCAAGCCUGACCGAGCGACGCCGCGUGCGCGAUGAAGGCCUUCGGGUUGUAAAGCGCUGUCGAGGGGGAGGAAAGCCGGGUAACCGGCCUGACCUAUCCCUGGAGGAAGCACGGGCUAAGUUCGUGCCAGCAGCCGCGGUAAGACGAACCGUGCGAACGUUGUUCGGAUUCACUGGGCUUAAAGGGCGCGUAGGCGGCUUGCCAAGUCAGGGGUGAAAUCGUUCGGCCCAACCGGACAAGUGCCCCUGAUACUGGCAGGCUCGAGGGAGGUAGGGGCAUGCGGAACUUCCGGUGGAGCGGUGAAAUGCGUAGAUAUCGGAAGGAACGCCGGUGGCGAAAGCGGCGUGCUGGACCUCGCCUGACGCUGAUGCGCGAAAGCCAGGGGAGCAAACGGGAUUAGAUACCCCCGUAGUCC
rnacentral:rRNA from 1 species